rnacentral:tRNA from 1 species
CAAAAAGUAGCUUACCAAAAGCAUUCAACCUACGCUUGAACGACAUUACACAUAAUCUUUUUGA